AUUUUUCCAGUAUCCAGACAUCCAGAUAACCAGAACUUGAAGGGGAGGAAGCUAUGGUUUGCAUUUUUUCUUUAGGAAACAAGUAAGUCAGAGGUGCUGAAAACAGGACUUUAAGCAGAAAAAGCAACAUAUGAGACCAAUGGACUAUGCAUUCAUGCCUUCUUCAAACUCACUUUCUGCGAAACCAGGCUCCUUCCCCGUGCUGGCAGAAGUUUCAACAGACCUCUCUCCUAUAGGUCACGCUGACAUCUUACAUUCCAUGAAGAGGAUGGUGAGAUCGAAGAGCCAGCCAGGUGUGGCAGAGGGAAGAUUUCUCCGACUAAGCUAGGAGAACUGACUCUCCAAAGAGAAUCUAUAAGAAUACCAGGCUGGGAUGCCAAAACUACAUGCUGAUACAAAGCAUUUGCAAAGGAUGAAGAAAAGCAGAUCACUCUAAGAAUGACAGGUUUCCUGGGUGCUGUGAAGCAUACCUAAACAGAUAGCUGCAAAGAAGGAUCUUUUCUCUAUUUCAAGACAUGAACACUGCCCCAUCCCCACUCCUGGUAUUUUGUACCCUAAACAAAAUUGGGUAUUUGCCUGAUAUAACCUGAAAAAGGUGGUGCAUUAUACUUUACAUAGUGAUUUAUAGUUUACAGGCUGCUUUUACGAUGGUCUCAUUUAGUUUUCCAAAAUCAAGCUGUGAUAUAGUGCUAUUAUUCCCCUUUUUAAAAAGAGGAAAUGGGGGACAUGUGAGGGUAAGUGAGUGGUUCAAGGUCACACGACUAGUCAGCAGCAGAACCAGGACUAGAAUUGCAAGCCCAGUGUUCUUGAGGGUUGAGCCCCAGGAAACUCUGUCCAGGGCUUUGCCAUCAUGGGGAUUUGCCCGACCGCCCUUAGGCAGCGGAGGGAUGGAGUGCAGAGACAACUGGCCUUCAUCCUUUGUCCCA
ensembl:lncRNA novel transcript